UUAAAAUCAUAGACUAUAUAUUACAUGGACUGCCAACUCUACGCACUAAGCCUAUAUUUUUCAAUAAACAAGUCCCGUUCACGGAGGCGUCCUUGGUUGCGUGGUAAAUUGACUUCCGGUAGAUUUUUUUUUUACGUAUAAAGAAACCAUUCUCGAAGAUUUUUACCACCACUUUUACAGCAAAUCAUGAAUGGAAACUGAAUUGUUAAAGAAGAUGUUACAGAGGAGCAUACUACUUCCAAAAACCUGAUUUGAUUGUCACUAACUUUCAAAUUGAAGGGGAUCUACUACAACUGCUCAUGAAUUUCGAGAUUUUACAGCUAAUAGAGGAACAAAUUUUAUCUGCUUCCACUUAGCCAAACAGCAUGGAAAUAUGCUAUUGUAAUGAGUAGAAGAUAUUUGUCAUUUAGAGUAUCAUGCAACAGCUAAUUAUC